GCGUAAGCGCGCGCAGGCGGUUUCUUAAGUCUGAUGUGAAAGCCCCCGGCUCAACCGGGGAGGGUCAUUGGAAACUGGGGAACUUGAGUGCAGAAGAGGAGAGUGGAAUUCCACGUGUAGCGGUGAAAUGCGUAGAGAUGUGGAGGAACACCAGUGGCGAAGGCGACUCUCUGGUCUGUAACUGACGCUGAGGCGCGAAAGCGUGGGGAGCGAACAGGAUUAGAUACCCUGGUAGUCCACGCCGUAAACGAUGAGUGCUAAGUGUUAGAGGGUUUCCGCCCUUUAGUGCUGCAGCAAACGCAUUAAGCACUCCGCCUGGGGAGUACGGUCGCAAGACUGAAACUCAAAGGAAUUGACGGGGGCCCGCACAAGCGGUGGAGCAUGUGGUUUAAUUCGAAGCAACGCGAAGAACCUUACCAGGUCUUGACAUCCUCUGACAACCCUAGAGAUAGGGCUUCCCCUUCGGGGGCAGAGUGACAGGUGGUGCAUGGUUGUCGUCAGCUCGUGUCGUGAGAUGUUGGGUUAACUCCCGCAACGAGCGCAACCCUUGAUCUUAAUUGCCAGCAUUCAGUUGGGCACUCUAAGGUGACUGCCGGUGAC
rnacentral:rRNA from 1 species